rnacentral:rRNA from 1 species
GGCCGGUACAGACGGACGCAAAGCCGCGAGGUGGAGCAAAUCCUAAAAAGCCGGUCUCAGUUCGGAUUGCAGGCUGCAAUUCGCCUGCAUGAAGUCGGAAUCGCUAGUAAUCGCAGGUCAGCAUACUCGCGGUCCGAAUACGUUCCGGGCCUU